rnacentral:rRNA from 1 species
CCUACGGGAGGCAGCAGUGGGGAAUUUUCCGCAAUGGGCGAAAGCCUGACGGAGCAACGCCGCGUGAGGGAUGAAGGCCUCUGGGCUGUAAACCUCUUUUAUCAAGGAAGAAGAUCUGACGGUACUUGAUGAAUAAGCCACGGCUAAUUCCGUGCCAGCAGCCGCGGUAAUACGGGAGUGGCAAGCGUUAUCCGGAAUUAUUGGGCGUAAAGCGUCCGCAGGCGGUCUUGUAAGUCUGUCGUUAAAGCGUGGAGCUCAACUCCAUUUCGGCGGUGGAAACUACAAGACUAGAGUGUGGUAGGGGCAGAGGGAAUUCCCGGUGUAGCGGUGAAAUGCGUAGAUAUCGGGAAGAACACCAGUGGCGAAGGCGCUCUGCUGGGCCAUAACUGACGCUCAUGGACGAAAGCUAGGGGAGCGAAAGGGAUUAGAUACCCCUGUAGUCCUAGCCGUAAACGAUGAACACUAGGUGUCGGGGGAAUCGACCCCCUCGGUGUCGUAGCUAACGCGUUAAGUGUUCCGCCUGGGGAGUACGCACGCAAGUGUGAAACUCAAAAUGAAUUGACGG